UACGAAGGGGGCUAGCGUUGCUCGGAAUCACUGGGCGUAAAGAGCUCGUAGGCGGUCUGUCACGUCGGCUGUGAAAUCCCGAGGCUCAACCUCGGGUCUGCAGUCGAUACGGGCAAACUAGAGUAUUGUAGGGGAGACUGGAAUUCCUGGUGUAGCGGUGAAAUGCGCAGAUAUCAGGAGGAACACCGGUGGCGAAGGCGGAUCUCUGGGCAUUACCUGACGCUGAGGAGCGAAAGCGUGGGGAGCAAACAGG
rnacentral:rRNA from 1 species